rnacentral:lncRNA from 1 species
GAUCUAUUUCCCCCAACACACACAAAUUCUACCUACCGAGGAAGCCUUGCUAGUAAUUAAUAUUAUGUCUUUUCUUUUGCAGUUUUUAAUGGGACAAAUGGAUUCCUUGAAUGAGCCCUUUCUACCAUCCAAGUGUGGGCCAAGACUUCCGCCCAGUUAAUGGUAUUGUCAAGACGAACCCCUUGGAGUUCUCCAGUCAUCAGAAAUAGGUGUGCAGUCAUCCCUUGGUAUAGCGUGGGACUGGUUCCAGCAGAUACCGAAAUCCAGGCACAUUCACGUCUCACAGUGGGGCCUGUGGAACACGCAAAUACGGAAAGUUGCCCUCCCUCUGUGUGCGUUUCGCAUCCUCCAGCUGCUGUGUUUUCGACCCACGUUUGAAAAAAAAUAUGUAAGUGGACCCCUUCAAAC